CCAGGUGGCACCUCCAGAGUUUUUUAUGGAAUUGCUGAUGCUCCAGGAGGUGAUUUAUCCACACACAUUGAACUUUCCCAAGGAUUUAGUGCAGGGAAGAGGGGGAUUCAGGCUCUGGCUCAGAGGGAUGAUGCAGACAGGCUUGUUGGGCUGGUUUGGAGCUGGAAAAAUCCCGACAGCUCCGGAGUUUGUUUGCAAGGGGCGUUUUCCAGCAGGGCCAGGCCCUGUGCCGGCAGAAAAUUCCUUCCCAGCCUGGAAAACACGGAUGAAAUAGGAGAAACUCAGGGAAGGGCCCGGGCGGAGCAUCCGGAGCCCCCUCGCCAUGGCCUCGUCUGAGCUGCCCCCCCAGCCUGCAGUAGGAGCCGCGGUGCCCCCGGAGCCGGCGGGCGCGGUGCCCGCGGGGGGGGAGGACGUGGGUGAAGCCUUUGCCUUCGAGGACAGCGAGGAGGAGGAGGAGGAGGAGGAAGAGGAGGAUCCCGCGGCCCAUCCCGGCGGGGCCGUUGUUCUCCGGGCCCCCCCGCGCCGGCGGCGUGGGACCAGCUCCGAGGGGGAGGGGCUGGUGCCGGAGACCCCGGAAGGGGCCCCGGUGAGGAUGAGCAAUGGGGAGGCCGGGGGAGACCCCCCCGUCCGCACCCAGACCUGGAAGCGGGAGAGCAUCUGCCGAGGUGAGCGGUUUUCCUUCCCGGAGGUGGAGGACGACGUGAUCUACGACGACGUUCCCUGCGAAAGCCUGGAUGCCGAGCAGGAUGGAGCAGGGAGGGAGCGGAGCCUGAUCUAUGAGGAGGUGCAGCGAGGAGAGGGCUCCCGGAUCAGCGAGGAUUUGGGCUGGAGCUCCAGUGAGUUUGAGAGUUACAGCGAGGACUCGGGGGAGGAGACCAAAGCCGAGCCCACCAAGCACCGAGCGUCCUUCCAGCCCAAGCUUUCUCCAGACCUGAAUAGACUAAAGGAGAGAUACGCCAGGACUAAGAGGGACAUCCUGGCUUUAAGAGUUGGGGGGAAGGACAUGCAGGAGCUGAAGCAGAAGUACGAUUGGAAGAUGACCCAGCUGAUGAAAGCGGCCAAAAGCGGCACCAAGGACGGUUUGGAGAAGACCAAGAUCGCGGUGAUGAGGAAGGUGACGUUCCUGCACCGGAAAGAAACCCCAGGGGACUCGGAGGAGGAGGACACGGGGUUCCUGGAGGUCACGGUCUCGGACAUGAAGCACCCGCCGCCGGAGCUGGGCCCCAUGCCCGAGGGGCUGAGCCCACAGCAGGUGGUGCGGCGGCACAUCCUGGGCUCCAUCGUGCAGAGCGAGCGGAGCUACGUGGACUCCCUGAAGCGCAUCCUGCAGGAUUACAGGAACCCGCUGCUGGAGAUGGAGCCAAAGGUGCUGAGCGCCAGGAAGUGCCAGGUGGUGUUUUUCCGGCUGAAGGAGAUCCUGCAGUGCCACUCCAUGUUCCAGAUCGCCCUCGCCUCCCGUGUGGCCGAGUGGGACUCAGCCGAGAAGAUCGGGGACCUCUUCGUGGCCUCAUUCUCCAAGUCCAUGGUGCUCGACGUCUACAGUGACUACGUCAACAACUUCACCUCAGCCAUGUCCCUCAUCAAGAAGGCCUGUCUCACCAAACCUGCCUUCCUCGACUUCCUCAAGAAGAGGCAGAUGGCCAGUGCCGACCGGGUCACGCUCUACGGGCUGAUGGUGAAGCCCAUCCAGAGGUUCCCUCAGUUCAUCCUUCUCCUGCAGGACAUGCUGAAAAACACCCCCAAGGGCCACGCAGACCGUCUGUCCCUCCAGCUGGCCCUCACUGAGCUGGAGACGUUGGCGGAGAAGCUCAACGAGCAGAAGCGCUUGGCCGACCAAGUGGCUGAGAUCCAACAGCUCAGCAAGAGCAUCAGCGACAGGAGCAGCCUCAACAAGCUGCUGAGCUCGGGGCAGAGGCAGCUCCUGCUCUGCGAGACGCUGACGGAGACGGUGUACGGGGACCGCGGGCAGCUCAUCAAGUCCAAGGAGAGGAAGGUUUUCCUGCUCAACGACAUGUUGGUCUGUGCCAACAUCAACUUCAAGCCAGUGAACACAGGAGGCCAACUGGAAAUCAGCAGCCUGGUGCCCCUGGGGCCCAAAUACGUGCUGAAGUGGAGCACGGCCCUCCCGCAGGUGCAGGUGGUGGAGGUGGGGCAGGAGAGCGGCGCCUACGACAAGGACAACGUGGUCAUCCACAACGCCGGCGCCCGCAGACACGCGCCCGCCGGGCAGGCCUCGCACAAUAAAGUCUACCUGGGGCCACCGCGGCUCUUCCAGGAGCUGCAGGACCUGCAGAAGGACCUGGCGGUGGUGGAGCAGAUCACCCUCCUCAUCAGCACCUUGCACGGCACCUACCAGAACCUGAACAUGACGGUGGCCCAGGACUGGUGUCUGGCACUGCAGAGGAUGGUGAGGGUGAAGGAGGAGGAGAUCCACUCUGCCAACAAGUGCCGCCUGCGGCUGCUGCUGCCCGGGAAGCCGGACAAGUCCGGCCGCCCCAUCAGCGUCAUGGUCGUGUUCAUCACCCCCAGCCCCCUGAGCAAGAUCUCCUGGGUGAACCGCCUGCACCUGGCCAAGAUAGGCCUGAGGGAGGAGAACCAGCCGGGCUGGCUCUGUCCCGACGAAGACAAGAAGAGCAAAGCCCCAUUCUGGUGCCCCAUCCUCUCCUGCCACAUGCCAGCCUUCUCCUCCAAAGCCCUUGAUCUGCAGCUCGGAGCCGCAGUUCACAACCCCGUGCAGUCCUCCCUGCUGGGCUUCUCCGCCGUCAGCACGUCGCUGCCGCAGGGCUACCUCUGGGUGGGGGGUGGCCAGGAGGGCGCGGGGGGGCAGGUGGAGAUUUUCUCCCUGAACCGCGCCGUGCCGCGCACCGUCAAGUCCUUCCCGGUGGCCUCCCCGGUGCUGUGCAUGGAAUACAUCCCGGAGCCCGAGGAGGGGGAUCCCCCGGGCUGCCAGGAACCCCGGGGCAGCGAGCAGCCCCCCUCAGCCCCUCAUCCCACCGUGUGCCUGGGGCUGCAGGACGGCAGCAUCCUGGUCUAUGGGAGCGUGGACACGGGCACGCCGUGCCUGCUGAGCUGCAGGAGCCCGGGAAUGCAGCCCAUCCUGUGCCUGAGGCACAGCCCCGAGUUCCUGUUUGCGGGGCUGCAGGACGGGUCCGUGGCCGCCUACCCCCGGAGCAACGGGGGGCUCUGGGAUCCCGGAGCGCAGCCCACCCGCCUGCCCGUGGGCACCGGCCCCGUGCGAGCCCUGCUGACCCUGGAGGAGACCCUGUGGGCCAGCUGUGCCAACCAGGUCACUGUCCUUGAUGCCACCACCCUCCGGGCCCAGCAAACCUUCGAGGCCCACCCCGAGGCCGAGGCCAGCGUGACCCACAUGGUGAAGGCGGGCAGUGGGGUCUGGAUGGCCUUUGCCUCGGGCUCCUCCAUCCGCCUCUUCCACACCGAGACCCUCGAGCACCUGCAGGAGAUCAACAUUGCCACCAGGACCACCUUUGUGCUCCCAGGUCACAAGCACGUGCGUGUCACCAGCCUGCUCAUCUGCCAGGGCUCGCUCUGGGUGGGCACCGACCAGGGCAUCAUCGUGCUGCUGCCUGUGCCCCGCCUGGAGGGGAUCCCCAAGAUCACCGGGAAGGGCAUGGUGUCCCUCAACGGCCACGGCGGCCCCGUGGAGUUCCUGGCGGUGGCUCUGAGCACCUUGGCCCCCGACGUCCUCCGGGGUGACCGGGACGAGGAGGAGGAUGGGGGCGAGGAGGAGAAAGGCCCGGAGCUGGAGGGGCCUCCCCCCCGGGAGCUGAGGAAGAAAGGGAUCCUGCUGCAGUACCGGCUGCGCUCCACGGCCCACCUGCCCGGGCAGCUGCUCUCCGUGCGGGAAUCCCCGCCGGGAACGCCGGCACACGCCGAGGAGGACGGCUCCAUCUACGAGCUGGCCGACGACCCCGACGUGUGGGUGAGGAGCCGGCCCUGCGCCCGCGACACCCCCCGCAAGGAGAUCUCCUCCGUGGCCAUCGUGUCCGGGGGCCGCGGGUACCGCAACUUCCGCGGGGACGGCCCGCACAGGGACAGGGGGGGCGGCGACAGCUCCCUGCUCAUCUGGCAGCUCCCGCUGGCGCUGUAGCAUUCCCAGGAUCCCAGCCCUCCCUGCUCACCUGGCAGAUCCCACUGAUGCUGUAGCAUUCCCGGGAUCCCAGCCCUCCCUAUCCCACUGAUGCUGUAGCAUUCCCGGGACCCUUCCCCACCCUGCUCAUCUGGCAGAUCCCGGGAUUCCCCCCAUCCUGCUCAUCUGGCAGAUCCCACUGAUGCUGCUGCAUUCCUGGAAUUGCCCCCCAGCUGUGGUUAUCUGGCAGAUCCUGGGAUUCCCCCCCAUCCUGCUCAUCUGGCAGAUCCCGUUGAUGCUGCAGCCUUCCUGGGAUUCUCUCCCCACCCUGCUCCCCUGGCAGAUCCCACCAAUGCUGUGCCAUUCCCAGGAUUCC